ACAAGUAUAAACAAAAUUAAACUAGAAACUAACACCACGCAGACUGAUUAUGAUGUGUACAAAAGAUACCAUGGAGCAGUAUAUGCAUUUCUCAUUCUCAUAAAUAUUUUUCCCUAUCCAAAGGACCAGAGCAGUCACCACGAUAUGAUAAGAUGAUGGAAAUAUUGUUUCUUCAUUUGGUGACAUGUCAAAUUUCCUUCAGUGCCAAGGUCAAAUAUUGUGAGGAAACAUUUAUGGUAUAAUAACCACUGCUGCUACUGAAACGAUGCAUUAGACCUGACUAAACGGUGCGAAGAUGUAAUCCGCGAGAUGGGGUAAUAUGGCGGGUGGCACAAAACAAACUCUAUGAUCUCAUUCAUGCCAUAAGCAUAUUACCACCAGAACACAACCAAAGCCUAACAUGCUCAUGGGAAAAAUCCGGCAGCACCUCCUUUGUACCGUCGGACAUCCACGGCAGGCAAUUGAAUAAACAGAGUAUAGAUAUACAAAACACAAGCGAGAGCAUAUAAAAAGCUCAUAAUUAACAUACAGAGCUCGGUGGUGAAGCCCCAAACCGACAUGCUACACCAAAACAGGAAACCAACUGUUCCGAGCACACAAACAUAUAUGGUGGGACCCGUAAAUUCCAACCCACCUUGGAGAGCAAACAUAAUGGUAAUGAGAAGAAACCAAAGCAAAGUUAAUACACAACAAGUAGAUCCUAUCUAUCAAGAAUCAUGAACUAAAGUAUGAGGGUUAUCAUGAUCAAGCUAGAUAAAUGAAAGGGGUGUAAAUUUGCGAGUGAACACCCAUGGGAGCUACGCCCUUCCGACUACUUGCAAAGCCUCACAGUGAUGUACGUGAAACACACAAGAGGUGAGUCUAAAGACUCAGCAGCACACAACAAAGCAUGUAAUAAAAAUAGAUGUAGAAACAUAAAUACCAGUUUUAAAGGUUGUGCCAAAACAUGAUGAAAGACAUACCCAAAAACGCGCCUAAUUGCAUUCCCGAGGGAGCAACCCUUUGCUGCUCUUUCACGGAAAAUUCACAUCUUGAGCUAGGAAGCUCGAAAACAAUCAAACAAGAUGGCUAUGGAUUCAUAAAUAUACAAAUAACUAACAAUUCGAACUCAGAAUAUGAACUUAUGAAGGUCAAAACCAGCAAGCACUUCACUGCUGUUUUCAGAUUCAGAAAUAGCGAGUAGCCGACUUUGACAAUUCAUAGCAACAUGAAUACUCAUGAGAAUUAACUGAAACCUUUCGUACUAGCAACUAUGCAUCACAGACAGCAUAGCAGGGAACAAAACAUGAAUUUAUUUGAAUGGUAAAAGCUCCUAAAGCCCACGGCAAAACUCUAUUCUUCGCUGCCCCUGAAAUUCUGCACAACUGCAGAGAAAUAGGCAUAACAGGAGCUUCGCAACUCCGAUUGAUAUGUUUAACCACUCAAAACGAUCAUGGGAACAAUACGUACGAAACAUUCCAUAUAUAGGGACUCAAAAUUGGUGAUUUCCAGAUCUGGAUACCCAGAAACAGCAAUAUAGACAGAUUCUUCCCCUAAUUCCCAAAUGAAUUUGCUGCUUCCCAACCCUAGGAACCUAGGAUUUACCAUGUACAACACCUGAGAGGAUCAUGUAGGGUGGGGGAACUCACCUUCGAGGCUUGAGCAAGGGGAACCGGACAGGGGAGGGAGGUGAGGAUCUUCUUCUCCUCCUCUUCUUGUCUCCACUUCUUCCUCAAGGUCAGGUCUAUGCUGCCCUAGGAUGUGGGGGAGGGCAUGGUGCAACAAGUAGGGACCUGGGGAGGGAAGGGAGGAUGGAGUGGCCGGUGGAGAAGAGAUAGAACGAACCGUGGAAGGGAGCCUUCUUCUUGGGGAAGAGAAGAAAGAGUGAUGUGGAGGAUGGAGUGGUCGACUCAUGUGGAUAGGAGGAGCUCAUGUGGUGAAGAUGAAGAUAAGGUCCAACUUCUUUAUUUAUAUAACAUAAUUUCAAAAUCAGUAAAUAAUCCUCGGCAUCGAAUCAAACAAACUGUGUAAGAUGCAUACGAACUCCGGUUUGCCCAAACGAGUAGUCCAUUUUGACCGUCUCAACGAGCAGUCCAUUCAUGCUUUUGGGCUCUCUUUAUCCACCUUAUCGAUUCAACGAAUCAAAUAUCCGAUGUCGGGGAUGCGUCAGACUCGUCGAAAUGGAUUGCUUGUUUGGGCAAACCGGAGUUCAGAUGCAUCUUACACGGUUUGUUUGAUUCGAUGGCGAGGAUUAUUUAUUGUACUUUGAAAUUAGGUUAUAUUAAAACAAUGAAGUUUGACCUUAUCUUCAUCUCCUCCUAUCCACAUGAGCCGGCCACUCCAUCCUCCACGUCUCUAUUUCUUCUCUUCCCCAAGAAGAAGGGUCCCUUCCACGGUUCCUUCCAUCUCUUCUCCAGUCGGCUACUCCAUCAUCCCUUCCCUCCCCACUCCUCCCCAGGUCCCUCCUUGCUACACCACGCCCUUCCCACCCCCUAGGGCAACCUGGACCUGAUAUUGAGGAAGUGGAGACAAGAAGAGGAGGAGGAGAAGAUAAGGGGAGGAGAAAAAGAAGAUCCUCACCUACCCUGUCUGAUUCCCCUUGCUCAAGCCUCAAGGGUUGCAAGCACCAAUCAACCUCUGGUAGCCUUGCAACGGUUGAGGCGAGUACAUCGGGCAACAAUGGUAUAUCACUGUGAGCAAGUAGUUGGAAGGGCGUAGCUCCCAUGGGUGUUCACUCCCAAAUUUCACACCCCGUUUAUUCACCUAGCUUGAUCAUGAUAACCCUCAUACUUUAGUUCAUUGUUCUUGAUAGCUAGGAUCUACUUGUUGUGUAUAAACUUGCUUCGGUUUGUUCCCACCACUAUGUUUACUUUACAAGGUGGGUUGAAGUUUGCUAGUCCCCACCUAGUACCCGUGUGUGCUUGGAACGUAUCGUUUCUUGUUCCAGUGUAGCAUAACCGUUUGUGGCUUCACCACUUUGCUCUAUAUGGGUUAUAUGAGCUAGUUGAA